rnacentral:ncRNA from 6 species
UGACUCUCUUAAGGUAGCCAAAUGCCU